AAUGCUUCGAAGGCCAAGCCAAGGCCAGGGCUAAGCUUCAAGUCCAUGAAAUUCAGGCAAUUAACUGCAUUUUGAACUGAAACUAUAGGAGAACAGACAAAUUAUGGAACUGUCAGGAGAUAGUUAACGGUACAAAUUUGUAUUGAUAUAUGGCCAAAAUCAAAGAAGGGUGUUGGUAACCAACAAGUCAGAGGAGACCUCAAAACGGGAGCUGCUUAGGGUGGUGUGCACAACAUUUGGAGUGAAAGAAGAAUAUAUUUUUCCUGCAGACAUGGCAAGACAAAUUCAACGAUUUUGCAGACAUGGAAGAGGACGAACUUGUGUCAGGGCCAUUGAGAGUAAGAAUUACAAACUACCUGUGGUCCUCGGUGCACAGCAACUGGUGAAUGGUGGAGAGCACAUAGAGUGGAUGAGCACUGAAAAAAAGGCAGCCAGACUUCAAGAGAGUUGAGUUCUGCAUGCAGAAGACACUGGCAGACAGAAGGGCAUGGAUCAUAAAUUUUGUCCCUCGGCCAAGGAUCACUGAUGACCGACUGAAGUAUCCUUGGCUCUUUGAUGAGGAUCAGGUAAUCUAUGCAGAGUUUUCUCACCAGAUUUUGAAAUAUACUGAAUAUCCCGAGAUUGAUUGAAUGCUGACGGACGUUGAUAGAGUUGCUUACUCAAUGUUUCCCUAUUACAGUGAUUUACAGAAUUUAUUGGAAACUUCUAACUCCACAUGGAUUAUCCAAACUUGCUCAUAAACUUAAUUUAUUCAAGACUGCGUAAGGUAUGAACUUCAUAUGUGGUCCUUGUAUGAAAAAAAUUCAGGUUAUUUUCUUGUCAAAGCAAUAUCACCUAAACAGCUUGAGGUAUGGAUGUAAAAACUUGGUGUUUAACAUGUACCAUCAUAGGAAGACGAUUUGAAUGGAUUUUGGAAUAUGUAGGUCAAAGGUCAAUUUGUGAAAUUUAUUUGUUUAAACACAUAGUCACCUUAACAGUUUGAAAUAUAGAUGUGAAACGUGGUGCUAACAUGUACCACUAUAGGAGAUGAUCUGGAUAUAUUUUGGAAUAUGUAGCUCGAAAGUAAAUUUGUGAAAUUCAGGUAAUAUCUUUAUUAAUGCAAUGUCACCUUAACAGUAUGAAAUAUGGAUGUAAAACCUGCUACCAUGUAUCACUGGGAAGAGGAUGCAUUGAGUAGUGUAUGUUUCAUUGACUGUUUUUGAAAAUUUGACUCAAUGUCUCUAAUCUUCAAAUUAAAGGUCUAGUCCACCCCAGGAAAAUGCUGAUUUGAAUAAAUAGAGAAAAAUCAAACUAGCAUGAAAUUUUAAAGUUUCGCUUAUUUUCAACAAAACAGUGAUAUGCACAACUAGGUGAGCCAAUGAUGUCACUCACUAUUUCUUUUGUUUUUUAUUGUUUGAAUUAUACAAUAUUUCAAUUUUUACGAAUUUGAUGAUUAGGACCUCCUUGCCUGAAGCACAAAAUGUUAAAAUAAUUAAAUUCCACGUGUUCAGGGACGAAUGAAACUUCAUUUCACAUGACAAUGACGAGAAAAUCAAAAUAUUUCAUACUUCAUAUAAUAAAAUACAAAAGAAAUAGUGGGUGAGUGAUAUCAUCAGUUCCCUCAUUUGCAUACCGACUGAGGUGUGCAUAUAAGCGUUUUGUGAAAUGAAGCAAAACUUUAAAAUGUCAUAACUUUCUUAUUUUACAUCCGAUUUUGAUGAAAUUUUCAGUGUUAUGCUUGUUGACUUUUUCUCUUUUUAUUCAAAUCAAGGU